rnacentral:rRNA from 1 species
UACGGAGGGUGCAAGCGUUAUCCGGAUUCACUGGGCUUAAAGCGUGUGUAGGCGGAUUGGUAAGUACCUUGUGAAAUCCCACGGCUUAACCGUGGAACUGCUUGGUAUACUGCUUAUCUUGGGCCACUUAGGGGCUACCGGAACAAACGGUGGAGCGGUGAAAUGCGUAGAUAUCGUUUGGAACGCCAAUGGUGAAAACAGGUAGCUGGGAGUGUGCCGACGCUGAGACACGAAAGCCAGGGGAGCGAACGGG